GGAUGAAGAACGUAGUGAAAUGCGAUAAGUAGUGUGAAUUGCAGAAUUCAGUGAAUCAUCGAAUCUUUGAACGCACAUUGCGCCCUUUGGUAUUCCUUAGGGCAUGCCUGUUCGAGCGUCAUUUAAACCUUCAAGCCUAGCUUGGUGUUGGGUACAUGCCUAGUUUCUGGGCUUACCUCAAAGAUAUUGGCAGCUUGUACACCCGCUUUCGGCGCAGCACAAUUGCGCCUUGGUAGGUGGGCAAGAUUCCAGAAGCAACCUUUUUAUCUUGACCUCGGAUCAGGUAGGGAUACCCGCUGAACUUAAGCAUAUCAAUAAGCGGAGGA
rnacentral:misc_RNA from 1 species